rnacentral:rRNA from 1 species
AACGAACGCUGUCGGCAGGCCUACCACAUGCAAGUCGAACGCUGCGCAAGUGAAGUGGCGCACGGGUGAGUAACACGUGGGAACAUGCCAUUAGGUGCGGAACAACAGUUGGAAACGACUGCUACUUCCGUAUGAUAUCGAGAGAUCAAAGAGUUAUCGCCUAAGGAUCGGCCCGCGGAAGAGUAGGAGGUUGGUGGGGUAAAGGCCAACAAAGUCUGCGAUCUAUAGCUGGUCUUAGUGGAUGAUUGGCCACACUGGAACGGAGACACGGUCAGGACUCCUACGGGAGGCGGGAGUGAGGAAUAUUGGACAAUGGGGGCAACCCUGGUCCAGCCAUGCCGGGUGAAUGAUGAAGGCCUUGGAGUUGUAAAGUUCUUUUAGCUGUGACGAUAAUGACGGUAGCAGCAGAAAAAGCCCCGGCUAACUCCGUGCCAGCAGCCGCCGUAA